AGGUCAUGUUGAGGGCAAUUCCUUAACAACCCUUUGUAACGCACCCAUGCUUUGUAAAGUGACUCCCCCGGGUUUUGCUCAAAAAUUGGCUAUUGCCUUCUUGAUUUU